rnacentral:rRNA from 1 species
AGAGUUUGAUCCUGGCUCAGGAUGAACGCUGGCGGUAUGCCUAACACAUGCAAGUCGAACGAAGUCUUCGGACUUAGUGGCGGACGGGUGAGUAACGCGUGAGAAUCUGCCUUCAGGAUGGGGACAACAGUUGGAAACGACUGCUAAUACCCGAUGUGCCGAGAGGUGAAAAUUUUUUGCCUGAAGAGGAGCUCGCAUCUGAUUAGCUAGUUGGUGGGGUAAAAGCUUACCAAGGCAACGAUCAGUAGCUGGUCUGAGAGGAUGAGCAGCCACACUGGGACUGAGACACGGCCCAGACUCCUACGGGAGGCAGCAGUGGGGAAUUUUCCGCAAUGGGCGAAAGCCUGACGGAGCAAUACCGCGUGAGGGAGGAAGGCCUUUGGGUUGUAAACCUCUUUUCUCAGGGAAGAAGAUCUGACGGUACCUGAGGAAUAAGCAUCGGCUAACUCCGUGCCAGCAGCCGCGGUAAUACGGAGGAUGCAAGCGUUAUCCGGAAUUAUUGGGCGUAAAGCGUCCGCAGGUGGUUUUUCAAGUCUGCUGUCAAAGACCAGAGCUCAACUCUGGGCCGGCGGUGGAAACUGCGAAACUAGAGUUCGGUAGGGGUAGCGGGAAUUCCCAGUGUAGCGGUGAAAUGCGUAGAUAUUGGGAAGAACAUCGGUGGCGAAGGCGCGCUACUGGACCGAAACUGACACUCAGGGACGAAAGCUAGGGGAGCGAAAGGGAUUAGAUACCCCUGUAGUCCUAGCUGUAAACGAUGGAAACUAGGUGUGGCUUGUAUCGACCCGAGCCGUGCCGUAGCUAACGCGUUAAGUUUCCCGCCUGGGGAGUACGCACGCAAGUGUGAAACUCAAAGGAAUUGACGGGGGCCCGCACAAGCGGUGGAGUAUGUGGUUUAAUUCGAUGCAACGCGAAGAACCUUACCAGGGCUUGACAUGUCCGGAACUUCCCUGAAAGGGGAAGGUGCCUUCGGGAACCGGAACACAGGUGGUGCAUGGCUGUCGUCAGCUCGUGUUGUGAGAUGUUGGGUUAAGUCCCGCAACGAGCGCAACCCUCGUCUUUAGUUGCCAGCAUUAAGGUGGGCACUUUAGAGAGACUGCCGGUGACAAACCGGAGGAAGGUGGGGAUGACGUCAAGUCAGCAUGCCCCUUACGCCCUGGGCUACACACGUACUACAAUGGUUGGGACAAAGGGCAGCGACCCCGCGAGGGAGAGCGAAUCUCAUCAAACCCAGCCUCAGUUCAGAUUGCUCUCUGCAACUCGAGAGCAUGAAGAAGGAAUCGCUAGUAAUCGCAGGUCAGCAUACUGCGGUGAAUUCGUUCCCGGGCCUUGUACACACCGCCCGUCACACCAUGGAAGCUGGUCACGCCCGAAGUAG